rnacentral:rRNA from 1 species
GACGUAGGGCGCGAGCGUUGUCCGGAUUUAUUGGGCGUAAAGAGCUCGUAGGCGGCUUGUCGCGUCGUCCGUGAAAACCUGCAGCUCAACUGCAGGCUUGCGGUCGAUACGGGCAGGCUAGAGUUCGGUAGGGGAGACUGGAAUUCCUGGUGUAGCGGUGAAAUGCGCAGAUAUCAGGAGGAACACCGGUGGCGAAGGCGGGUCUCUGGACAGUUCCUGACACUGAGGCACGAAGGCCAGGGGAGCAAACGGG